CGGUUAGAAAAUCUCAAAUCAAAUGGAUUGUUCGGUCUUGUAUGUACUAUAUACAUAUCUCAAAAUGAAACAAUAUAACUGUAUAUGUCCCUACAAAAGAAUCCACUUCCUGUUAUUAGCCCAUACAUCCCUUCUAAAUUUACUGUUCAUUGGGU